UCUAUUAUUUAGGAAUAUUUAAAAGUUUAAUUAGGUUAGAAUUUUUCUAGUUAGAUUGGUUCAGUAUUUUUUUUAUUGUUAGAUUGAGAUUUCUAAUCCUAGUAGUAUUAGGAUAGUUAUUAGUCUAUAAAUGUCUCUGUAAUUUAGGGAUUUUGGUAGAGAUUAUUAUUGACAAUUUGAAAAUUAAUAAGAAUUUUAAGAGCUUUAUUCCUUUUUCCUUUUGAGUGUUCCUGGUUCUACAUCAAUAUGGCAAUCGACUAUGCAUACUAUUUUUGUUCGUAUGUUUGAUUUUGAUCUUUUUAUGACCCCUUUUUGAUGUCAUAUGGUUGAGAAUUUUAUUGUUCUAAACAUGAACUGAAUAGGAAAGCUAGCGUAAGUAUGUAAUUCUGUCUAUAUUUUGAGAAGUCCUCCCUAUUUUAUGUUCUCCGUUAGUUCUAUGGAGUAACUUUUUCAUUCUUAAAUUUUGAACAUGUUUUGUGGCCUUAUUACUGGGUUAUCAUUAGCUGAUAUUUGGAUGUGAUUGGACAAAAUUAUUUCAUUAGAUUUGUCAUUUUAAUUGAUUCUAUUUGCUUCCAUGAGAGGAGGAUAUUUAGUAAUUUAGUCCCUCAUUUCAUAAUUCUCUUGACAAAAUCUUCUUUUACUUGGGGAAAAAGAAAUUGAGAACUUCAGCUUCUCGUUCCAAGUAUUCUGUUAUUAACAAAUUUUUGGAUGGCAGGUACAUGACAGAAGUGAGGAGGUUGCCGCUUCCCCAGAGCAAAACUGAGGCUGUUUACCGAGGAUUUCGAGAACUUGAAGAGUCUCUGAUAAGUCCUUUUUCUUAUGAUCGAUUCUAAUUCUUUUAUGUUCCUUGGUGUUGUAUGAAAUGUUUCUUUUC
rnacentral:misc_RNA from 1 species